UGGCUCUUUGCUAGCACCGACCAGAGUAAUUAACAUAGCCCCAUCCCUUAAGGGGUAACGUGGUCGUACUGUUAAGGUUGGGACGGUCGACAUAUCAUAAAUCUAAUCCGAUUUCCGAAACCUUAAUCACACAAAUACCGGGUGCAUCACUUCACCAAAAGAGACCACCUAACUCAUCAUCACCCUCGGGCAUUAGUGGCACCCGACGGGGUUUUCAUAAACUCUUGCUUUAUGACAACAUCAUGCUCAUGAUAAUGCUACUGCUAUCUUUACUUGUCAACAUGGUAUUAGCAUGACCCUCAAGGGGUAGGGUCAAGCUCAAUACAUGUGCUCUGGGAGAACCUUCGGUAAAAUCAUAUCAAAUGAUUACCGGCACUAAUGAUCAUAUGCAACGGGAAUACUUGCUAUUUAACAUGCAAAGUAACAUAUGCUCAAUCAUGGUCAAAG
rnacentral:lncRNA from 1 species